rnacentral:rRNA from 1 species
AGUGAACGCUGGCGGCGUGCCUAAUACAUGCAAGUCGAACGGAGUGGCGCCCGGGUGCGUAAUGUAUAGCUAAUCUGCCCUACACUAGCGGACUACAGUUGGAAACGGCUGCUCAUACCCUAUAGUGUAGGAUGAGGCUAUAUUGUAUCAGCUAGUUGGUGAGGUCAUGGCUCACCAAGGCUAUGACGCAUAACUGGUCUGAGAGGAGGAUCAGUAACACUGGAAAGGAGACACGGUGCAGACUCCUACGGGAAGCAGCAGUAGGGGAUAUAACUCAAUGGGGGAAACCCUGAAGCAGCAACGCCGCGUGGAGGAUGACACUUUGCGGAGCGUAAACACCUUUUGUUAGGGAAGCGGUACCUAACGAAUAAGCACCGGCUAACUCCGUGCCAGCAGCCGCGGUAAUUC